CAGCGCCACGAGUGGGAAUCGUAUUUAUUGGGCCUAAAGCGUCCGUAGCCGGUUUGGUAAAUCUUUUGUGAAAUUGAUAAGCUUAACUUAUCAACGUGCAGAAGACACUGCUGGACUUGAGACCGGGAGGGGUUAGAGGUAUUCCAGGGGGAGCGGUAAAAUGCUAUAAUCCUUGGAGGACCACCUGUGGCGAAGGCGUCUAACCAGAACGGAUCUGACGGUGAGGGAUGAAAGCUAGGGGAGCGAUCCGGAUUAGAGACCCGAGUAGUCC
rnacentral:rRNA from 1 species